UACGUAGGGGGCUAGCGUUGUCCGGAUUUAUUGGGCGUAAAGAGCGUGUAGGCGGCCAGGUAGGUCUGCUGUGAAAACUCGAGGCUCAACCUCGAGACGUCGGCGGAAACCAUCUGGCUAGAGUCCGGAAGAGGAGAGUGGAAUUCCUGGUGUAGCGGUGAAAUGCGCAGAUAUCAGGAGGAACACCUAUGGCGAAGGCAGCUCGCUGGGACGGUACUGACGCUGAGACGCGAAAGCGUGGGGAGCGAACAGG
rnacentral:rRNA from 1 species